rnacentral:lncRNA from 1 species
UGGUCUACGUAUGCAUACAUGACUUCUUUGUUGAAUUUAUCAUUGUCUCCCAGGAACUCCCCAACCUGAGUUGAAUCUAAUCUCUCCUCCUGGUGCAAGAACUGAGCAAUAUCUUCAGGGGUAGUGCCAAGCAUUCCUUGCUCUUGCAGGUACUGAAUCCCCCUCUUUGGCUUCUUAUUGAAUAAGUCAAUUCCUUGUUCUAUUAUUUCCUUUUGUUGCUUUAGGACCUCAAACUGCUCCGGGUUGUCAGUGCCAGACAUCUGUGUGCUGUAGCUGCCAAUUCCUGAUGAAGCAGUAGAAUCCAGGGAAUUUAAGCUUCCAUAUCUGUUAAUUGUCUCAGGGUGUUUGGUUUCAUUGCUGUCCUGUUCUGUAGGUUUUUCUUGCCCAAGUGUUGUCUGAGAAUUGGGAUUUACAUACUGAUCCUUA